rnacentral:misc_RNA from 1 species
CACAAAUAUGAAGGCGGGCUGGAGCCUCUCGGGGCUGCAGUCUUGCUGAAUUAUUCACCCGUGUCUUUUGCGUACUCUUUGUUUCCUGGGUGGGUUCGCCCACCACCAGGACCAACCCAUAAACCUUUUGUAAUUGCAGUCAGCGUCAGUAACAAUAUAAAUAUUUA